rnacentral:rRNA from 1 species
AGCGAACGCUGGCGGCAGGCCUAACACAUGCAAGUCGAACGAAGUCUUCGGACUUAGUGGCGGACGGGUGAGUAACACGUGGGAACGUGCCUUUAGGUUCGGAAUAACUCAGGGAAACUUGUGCUAAUACCGAAUGUGCCCUUCGGGGGAAAGAUUUAUCGCCUUUAGAGCGGCCCGCGUCUGAUUAGCUAGUGGGUGAGGUAAAGGCUCACCAAGGCGACGAUCAGUAGCUGGUCUGAGAGGAUGAUCAGCCACAUUGGGACUGAGACACGGCCCAAACUCCUACGGGAGGCAGCAGUGGGGAAUCUUGCGCAAUGGGCGAAAGCUUGACGCAGCCAUGCCGCGUGAAUGAUGAAGGUCUUAGGAUUGUAAAAUUCUUUCACCGGGGACGAUAAUGACGGUACCCGGAGAAGAAGCCCCGGCUAACUUCGUGCCAGCCGCCGCGGUAACAC